UCCUGCACAUCCCCCACUGGGGAAGUGCCUGCAACCCAGGUACAUGCCCUUGACCGGAAUCGAACCUGGGACCUUUCAGUCCGCAGGCCGACGCUCUAUCCGCUGAGCCAAACCGGCUUUGGCGAUAACCAAAUUUAAAGGAAAGGCUAAAUACGACCCUACAAAUUAAUACAGCUAUGAAAUAAAAUUGUAGCACUUUACUAAGAAAGGGAUAUAAUGCUGUUUAAUAGAAUGUUUUAUAUAUGACUUUUGGCCCUAUCCUAUAAUUUUUGGUUAAUUUCUUUCCUGUAUUAGGGUUAUUUUCCAAUUAAAAUUAUCCUGCUAGAUAACAGAUACCACCCCAUAUUUAUUACAACACAUGAGUUCUAUUGAUUCACAAAACUGAAUUUCUUAAAAUUCAGUAUCUUACUGAAAAAAGAAGAGAAAAAGCCCUAUAUUAAGUUUCAAGCUCUGAUAUGGGGAUAUAGAUUGGGAUGUUCCAUAUUUAAUUUUGGAGAUCGAGCUUAUUAAUUACAAUAACAUGCUUUUAGAAACCUAUAUUAGGAACAUUUUUCAAAUACAUUUUUUAUAUUUCAGAUGUAAUGCAGUGCAUUUUUAUCUGAACAUUACAAAGCAUUAUCUUUUGGGACCAUCCAGGACUCCCUCCUCCCCCCCUUUUGAAAGUAUGUGGUAUUUGUAAUUGCAGAUGACCCAAUGUAUUUCUUUUCUCUCAUUCUUUUAAGAAGUGACUUAAGUCCUGACUGGCAUGGCUCAGUGAUUAGAAUGUGAGCCCCUCGCACCAAAGAGAGAAGUGUCUCAGAUCAAGGGCAUGUUCCUGGGAUGUAGGUUCUUUCACCUGCCCCAGUUGGGGCGCCUGUGGCAGGCAACCAAUCAAUGUGUGUCUCUCACAAAGUUACUUAAUUCUUGGAAAUAACACUUAGGUUAGUUUAGACCUUAUAUCCCAAAAUAAUUAAUAUUGCAGUUGUUUUGUAAUCUGUUUAUAGAUUUACUUUAGGAAUUAUUUUGUUUACCUGUGCCAACAGAAUACCCACUUCAUGCCUUUCAAACAUAUUUCAACUUAUACCAACAUAUUCACAAAAAUUCAUUUUGGUAUCUAUUUGAAAGAUUAUUUUCCCUUUCUGUUUCUCAUUACUGUAAAGUUAAAUCCUUUUGUUGCUAAUUGAAAAUGACUUAUAGUCAUCCACUUAGGAGGUAAAAAGGGGAACUGGAGAUAGUUUACUUAAUGAGCCUGUCUUGUUCUUUAUGAAAAUAUCAUUCUAACUUUUUUUUACUCAAAUGACUAAAUAUACAUUUCAUAAAUUUAUUAUGCACCCUACAUUAUUUACUUUAUUAAAACAAUAUAAAGUGUUAGGCUAAAUGGCAACUCAAGGUCACUAAACCUCUUAAGAUCCUCUGAUUUUUUUCAAUCUAUUUUCAUUUUGUUAUUUUUCAGAAACAUUCCCACAGAUCUGGCAUUACAGAACAGAACAUUUCAAGCAUGCUGAAACUUCAAAUAGCAAAUUUUAAAAAUUAUUUUGAAAUGAUUAAAAUACCAAAGGAAAACUAAUUCAUUGGUGUUUUUUUAAUUUUUAAAAUUGAUUUUAGAGAGGAAGGGAGAGGAAUAGAGAGAAACAUUGAUGAGAGAAAAACAUCCAUAAGCUGCCUCUUGCAGGCCUCCUAUUGGGGAUCAAACGCUUCCCAACAAUCUGGGUAUGCCUGUCAGGGAAUUCUAACAGUGAGCUUCUGUUUCAUGGGUUGACACUCAACCACUGAUCUACACCUGGUCAGGCUAAUUCAUUGUUUUAAGUCACUAUAUGUAGUCAGUAUUCUAUUAACCAGGGUAAGUGAACCUGUCCAGAUUUUUCUUUAAUAUUAAUGUUUGGUAUACUUAUGUUACACUCUAUAAAUCCUGGAUUCUCCUGAGUCUCUUUGGAAAUAUACAUCCCAUUGAUAAAUGCUUAAGUCACAAUACUCAAGAGCUAGUGUUAUUGUGAAUUAACUGGUGUUAAUUCCAGGUGACUGGAAUUUAGCAUGACAGCAUCAUUAAAUACUUUAAUAUAACCUAUGUUACCUAUUUUACACACCUUGAUGGAUGGCAAAUAUACCAUCACUUGUAUGUGGGUAAGUAAGUGAAUACAGAGAAAACAGCCACUGUGGCUUUGACAAGAGCAAGAAUGACUUCAUAAUGUGACAGUUGGAAUACAGGUUGUGUUCCUAAUAGAGAUGUUUUUUAAGAGGUUUCGUACUACUGCUUUUAAAUGAAUCCAUACUUCUGAAAGGUAAAAACCAAUUUUGCAUGCUUAAAUGCUUACAAAGUAAACAUGAGCAAGAUUAUACAAGAGGAUUUUUUUUCAAUAAAGAGAAAGAAGGUAACUACAUUAGGUAAUUUUGGUUUUGCAAAGUAAGACCUUAAAGUAGUAAAGAAAAACCUAAAUCUGAUCCCAGAGAUCACUUUAACAAUUGCUCAUGAAAAUAAUUUUUUAAAUUUCUUUUGUCAAACAUUUUAGAAAGCAUAUUAGGCCUAUAUUUAUAUUUUGAUCUCCAUUCCUUUGUUCAGCACUGUGAUAAUUUCAGAAGCUGUAGAAAAAUACAUAAUUUAAGGAGCUUAAAGUUUUAAAAAUGAGUCAUGUGACAAUAGUAAUAAUGAUGGGAAUAGACUAUAAAUAUAGAACUUAAAAAAUGUUUUACUAUGUUGCACAAGUUCAUUUGCAAAGUGUUAGGGUUAACAUGGUUUUGGUUGGUUUGCUCAAUAUUUGUAUGCUCAUUUUAUACUGUAUUCUGCAACUCAAAAGAUACAGGGCAUCACACUGCUGGAUGACUAGUACAUACAUACACAUUAAUGCUAAUACUUUACUUUUGUAUUGGGCUUUAUAAUAGACAUUUCCCCCCAACUUUAUCUAUGAAGUAGGUAGCAAGUUCUAAUCUUCCCCAUUAUGAGUUAAGAAAUGUAUGUUUACACAUAUGAAAUAAAUACUUAUAAAUUUUAUUUGGAUCACAAUAUUCAAAUGGAACACUUUAAGAUGAGAAUAUGUGACCCCAAUGAGUAGCAGCAAAGGUGGGCCUACACUGUUUGAAGAGAUCCUAGUCCCUGACUAAUAGAAGCACUAAUCUCUUAGCUUGUUAAAUAUAAAAAUGACAACAGCCAACACAGCUGUCCAGUGUGAGUGAAUAAAAAUUACAUUUUUUUGUCAAAUCAAAAAAUACAUUUUUGGUGUGCUGCAGAACUUUAGUUACUAGUUUAUAUAUACCAUAUAUUGGGAUAUGUAUAUUUAAACAUUUAAAAAUUCAUACAUAAAUUUAUCAGUUUGAAGGAAUAUAAGAUCCAGAGAAGAGUACCUGGUACUGUAGUGGGCAGUUAGACAUGAGCAGAGUACAGGUCCCUAGGGUGGAAAGCCCUGGGUGCCUAGCAAAGGACAAUUGUAGGGUGGGACCUUGUCCUCAGGGUGGCCUUUCCUCCUCUAGUGAUGACCGGAAAGAUGAGCCGAGGUGUUUUCCUGGGGUCGUGUCUCAGGACGUCGAAGAAUGAGCCAUGCAGACCAGAAGAUUUAAGCAAAAGUGGAAAAUUUAUGACAAGCACAUUCAGACUUCCCACAAGGGGAGGGGGACCCAAGAAUGGGCUGCCGGUUAAAGCCUUAUGGUCCAGAGACACCUCAGGCCACAACCAAAUGCCCUGGGAGCCAGGAAAGGAGACCAUAAAUUUCUUCAUUGUUACUGUUAUGUUAAUUUUGACUGUUAACUAGCUCAUUCUAGAGUUUUCCCUGCUUUGCUUUCUGCAGCCUCUCUGAACACCAAUGGGUUUCAUGUAACCCACCUAUGCCACCCACUUUGUAAUGCAUAAAAAAAGACGAAACACAGCCAUUCUCUGGAGCAUUAUCCCAAUACUUGAGAUUUGCUCCCUGGAAGUUGUUGACAGUUUGGCUCAAAUAAACUCACAAAAACUA